CAUGCAAGUCGAGCGAGAAAGUGACUUCGGUUGCGAGUAAAGCGGCGAACGGGUGAGUACAACGUGGAUAAUCUACCCUAGGGUCUGGGACAACCCCGAAAAAUCGGAGCUAAUACCGGAUAAGACCACAGUAUCCAAGGAUACAGUGGUAAAAGAUUUAUCGCCUUUGGAUGAGUCCACGUCCCAUCAGGUAGUUGGUAAGGUAAAAGCUUACCAAGCCUAAGACGGGUAGCCGGCCUUAGCGGGUGAACGGCCACAUGGGGACUGAGACACGGCCCUGACUCCUACGGGAGGCAGCAGUGGGGAAUAUUGGGCAAUGGGCGAAAGCCUGACCCAGCGAUGCCGCGUGAGGGAUGAAGGCCUUCGGGUUGUAAACCUCUGUCAGGAGGGACGAUGGGACACUUGUGUCUUGACGGUACCUCCAGAGGAAGCCCCGGCUAACUCCGUGCCAGCAGCCGCGGUAAUACGGAGGGGGCAAGCGUUGCUCGGAAUUACUGGGCGUAAAGGGUCCGCAGGCUGUCAGGCAAGUUGGUUGUGAAAGCUCAAGGCUUAACCUUGGAAUUGCAUCCAAAACUGCCUGACUAGAGUCCAAGAGAGGUUGGCGGAAUUCCCGGUGUAGCGGUGAAAUGCAUAGAUACCGGGAGGAACACCAGAGGCGAAGGCGGCCAACUGGCUUGGAACUGACG
rnacentral:rRNA from 1 species